GACGAACGCUGGCGGCGUGCUUAACACAUGCAAGUCGAACGGAAAGGCCUCUUUCGGGGGGUACUCGAGUGGCGAACGGGUGAGUAACACGUGAGUAACCUGCCCUUGACUUUGGGAUAACUUCAGGAAACUGGGGCUAAUACCGGAUAGGAGCUCCAGCUGCAUGGUGGGGGUUGGAAAGUUUCGGCGGUUGGGGAUGGACUCGCGGCUUAUCAGCUUGUUGGUGGGGUAGUGGCUUACCAAGGCUUAGACGGGUAGCCGGCCUGAGAGGGUGACCGGCCACAUUGGGACUGAGAUACGGCCCAGACUCCUACGGGAGGCAGCAGUGGGGAAUAUUGCACAAUGGGUGGAAGCCUGAUGCAGCAACGCCGUGUGCGGGAUGACGGCCUUCGGGUUGUAAACCGCUUUCGCUCAUGACGAAGCUUUGUGUGACGGUAGUGGGUAAAGAAGCACCGGCUAACUACGUG
rnacentral:rRNA from 1 species